CGCCCAGACGAAAAGGGACCCUGGUGGCUCCGGUCAGCACUGCUGACUGGGCCACUAAAAGUUCGGUUGGCUGCAGUGGCUGGCUCCGCACAGCUCCCAGAAGUGGCUGGCAUUUCCCUCCAGCUCCUAGGUACAGGUGCAGCCAGGGAGGCUCCGCGCACUGCCCUUGCCUGAGGUGCCCAAGCACCGGCUCCACAGCUCUCAUCGGCCUGAGGCACUAGUGGCCCAGCAACUGAAACCAAGAUAUCUGAAGAGUUUAUGAAGAAAGAAGGACAGUCAUCCUGGAUACCUGAUGGUAGUGUGGAGAAGUGGGGAAUGGGAUGUUGAAAAUGACAGGAAAAGGAAGUCUUCAUACGAUCCAGAGCAUUGGGUGAUGAUGUUGCGGACCUCUUCAUUUGUGACAUGGUCGAAGUAGGAGAUGCCCAGGAUUUUACAGAAGCAUCUCAUCUCUACAGAUAAAAGGUAUCAGUCAUUAUGCACUCCAAGUAGAUGUUGAACAGUGUGGGCGAAAGAAGGCAGCCUUGCUGGAUUCCAACAGUGGUGCGAAACCACUCUUCUAUUGUGCCAUUGAUGAUAACUGCACUGCUGGCCUUGGAAUACAAUUAUUUAAUGGUCGCCUUUCUUUGGCAGAGCGAUGAUUAGUGACUGUGUCCACAUGGAGGGCCACUCACCUGUCUGCCAGAUCUUGUUGCAGAUCUUGUCCAGUGAAAUGUCCAACGACCCUCUAUAGAGCAAGCUAGGUGUGGUGCCUAUGACAACUGGCAACAGUAGAUGUCUGACUUGGCUCUGAAAGCAAACCUUCACAUUGAAAAGAAGAAACCCAGUUUAUUUCCCCUGAUGCACCAUGGGCCAGAUCCUGAAGUCCUUUGACAAAAAUUCCUCUGCAUCUUCAGGAAGAUUUUUGCCUGAGUAAGGACGGCAGAAGCUGGUGCAAUCUUAAUCCAUAAUUUCAAAAGUAGGGAGGUAUACAACACAAAUUGAUAGGGGAUUCUGUUCCACCUUCUUUAAAGCAGGGACUCCUAAAUGUAACCUGAUGAAGGCUACAUUGGCAACUUGCAGAAUCCAGAAGUCGCAAAUAUGAAAAUGACUCUCUGCUCUCCUAAAGCUAGACAGUGAUCUUCCUUCUCAUGAAAGUGACCAAUUGCUUAUGGAGAACCUGCUUUUAGAAACCAUUUAAGUGUGUACUUCAAUUUAUCCCUAUCCAGAAAAAAAAAUAAAGACAAAGAUGCUUAAUUA